rnacentral:tRNA from 1 species
AGCCCUGGAACGCCUUNNGGGUUCGUCUCUAGAUUUGCACUCUAGCGUAAACACCGCAG